AGAAUUGGCCUCUUCCAGCCACAGCAGUAAUCCUGUUACGUUCUCUCUGUGAGUCUGGGAAACAUACAGACACUGGUUGAAACUUCAGCUUUGUCAUUUACCAGCUGUGCUAUCACAGGCUGGUCUGAAACUCCUGGGCUCAAGCAGUUCUCCCACAUUGGCUUCCCAAAGUGCUGGGAUUACAGGUCUGAACCACCGAACCGGGCCACAGAGUGGCAAUGUGGUUGGCAUGACCCAGUCACAGCACCCCGGGACUCUUGUCCAGCAUUGGCGCUCUAUAUGCAGAGCCCUUUCACUCAGCCUGGCAGCAUCUGAUCAGCGUCGAAGCCCAGUGGCUUGAGGAAUAAAUAUAAACAGUGCAGAGACUAAAAGCAGAGCUCUGGUCCAGCACAUCUACUCCCAAGCUCUGCCACCCUGGACAAGCUCCUUCCCCUCUCUGAGCCUCAGUCUCCUCCCUGUAAUACUGUAAGAACCCUGUCCACAGUUGUGUGCCGAUAUACUGAAUGUAAAGCACCUAAAAGCCUGCCAGGACGUGGCAGGCACUCAAGAAGCAUUACUAGAUUCAUUUCACACAUGGAGAAACUGAGUCCCAGAGUGGGAAAGUGACUCAGGCAAAGAUUCCCUCACAGAACUGGGGAUAAAAAUCCAGAUCUUCAAGCUCCCAGUCAGUGCCUAAUUACUACUUUCUCAUUCUUGGAAUUUGUAAUUAUUUCAUGACAAGUGUGCUUUUGGCUGCUGGAGGGACAGAGCUUCAGAGGUUGUGAGCCUCCCCUGGCUCAGCCUGACCCAGAACCAGCUCACUCAUGAAACUACCCUCUCUUGAAGAGAAUAGGAGUUGUGGGGAGGAAGAACAUAACCCAGAGGCCAGAGAACGUGGAGGCCAGGGUUGGUGUAACUGUGUAGGCUCUUCCACAUACUAGCUGUGUGAACUUGGACAAGUGACUUAACUUCUCUUCUCCGUGUCUGCUAACAGUCCCUACACAGAUGGUUGUUGUGAGGCUUAGUUACCAUACAAAAUUCUUAGAUUAGUGCCUGGCACAUAAUAAUAACCACAGCCCCCAAAUGCUAGUUGUCAUUCAUUAUCUUAACAUACCAUGUGAAGGUUGUGUUCUCUUACAUUCUAUAGCCCUCUGUGUUUUAAUAUAAAAUUGUGAUGUCUCUCUUUCUUUUAUUUGUAUUUUUUGAGUAAAACGGACAUUUCAGAAAGAUGUACCAGAUUUUUAUCACAUGGCUUUGUGAGACCCGACAGCCAGCCAACAUCACACACAGUCACAUGUGUGCAUGCAUGAGCACACAUGCAUGCAGACACACACACUUUGAGAAGGCCAUGCUACGCCGGGCUGCUUCCCAAAUGGGCUGAAACAAGUCCUCUUGCCCUGAAGAACCGCCUGUCCCCUCUCCCGCCCACUCAUCGCGCUCCGUGGAGUGAGGCAGGAAAGGGUGAUUGGCUCACAGCAGCAGCAUAGCUCUUAGUAAACCUGACUUGGGAGAAAGGCCUGGCUCCAGCUCCUAGCCCAAGUGUCAGAGCCUGGGUCCCAGCACUGGCUCGAUGCCCUCUUUUGCUGUGCAACCCUGGCCAUGUAACUUCACCUCUCUGAGCCCCAGCUUUGUCAUUUGUGAAAGGGAGCUAACUGUUCCUACCUCUCAGGGUUAUGAGGAUUUGACAGACACAUGGAAAGUGCCUGGCACUUCGUUGUUGCUCCAUAAAUGAGAGCUCUCAAAAGUCUGGCUCAUUUUUUAGCUCAGUAAAAGCUAUCUUUCAUAGUCUUUAAUAAAAUGGGGCUGGCCGGGCGUGGUGGCUCACGCCUGUAAUCCCAGCACUUUGGGAGG
rnacentral:lncRNA from 1 species